UUUCACAUAAUCUCCUUCUUCGUUCUUUUUCUAACGAUGAGUAAGAUUCCGCCCCAUCCGUUUUGUAAAAAUCUUAAACUUGUCUUUAUUUCAUGUAAGCAAUCCUUGGAGCGGCCGAUUUACAAUCAUUAGCACCUCAAGCGGUGGUGUUACAUUUGGCAACAUGAAAGGAUUUGUUGAACGAUCCUAAGCCUUCGCAUCAGUAAAAGACUUUUUAGAAUUUUAUUUUUAUUAACAUUAUUUUUCCUUGUCAAAAUUUAAAGUUGAAUUGAGAGACGCAAAUCUGAACUGGCGCUUUGUUUGGCAUUUUCUAAUUUAUCGUAGUUUAGAGUCUUGAUAAAAUCAUCUUACUAAGCUUGUUACCGAUGUUUUCUUCAAUCCCGUCCAGAAAUUUUAUUCUUGGAUAAAAUAUAAUUUUUGAAUUGCAAUAUUGCGCGAAAAGAAGGGAUGAAUUGCCGCAAGCGUGAUAAAACAUCAUAAGCAAUUUGUUGUUAAGGAUUAACUCGUUCGGGUUCUGUUUAUGCUAAUGAAAGUGAAAAUGCUUAGUAAGAUUAAAAAAUACUUCAACUUGCUAGUUUCCGUUUGAAUAUGGGGUUGCUCUUCUUAAACGUUGUGAUUUCACAAAUGUUAUAAUAUACAAAGCACAAUUUUUUGAUGGCUCUUGACUAAUUCAAUUUAUCAAUCAACUGUCAAGCAAAUACAGCUUUGUUUUCCCAAGGAAAUGCCCAUCAAUCAAUUUUUCUUUUGUAUGACAAGACUUAAUAUAAAAAGGCAUUUGUAAGGAUUCAUAGUUUUCUACUUAUGAUUGAAAGUAUCUUGCAAUCUACCAAAAAUUGCUUUUCUUGCAAACUCUUUUUUGCUUUUCACGUUCGAAAUGAAAAGCUUUAAAUUGGACCAGUUUGUUUCGAGCCGAUGACUUAUAAUUCGUCUAAUUUAACUUCGUUUACAAUUCUUGUAUUUGUUAUACACUAGCUGCCAAUAAUUUUUCUUCGAAUUGAAAAGUCACCUCUAUCCCGAAUGCAUACUUUACUUCAAAAGUCUAAACUCCCUUCUCAUUUCGGAUCGAAACGUACCAGCUUGAACUCAAGAUUUUACAGAGCUCCUUCAUUCACUCAUUUUCUUUUUUUUUUUGGUAAUUUGAAACACUGAAUUAAGUUAUUUACAGAUCCGUAUACCAUUAAACCAUUUCUCAUAGUAUUAUUGAUAAAUUAUUUUUCAACUCCUAUAACAACUCACUAUAAUAAACAAUAUGCAUUUGCUCCAUGCACCAGCUAAACUUUACCUUUGUACGAUACAUUUCAUUCUACAAUGGUUAAACUUACAUAGACGUUCAUUGAAUUUUAAAUAUUUUUUAACGUAUUUUCUCAGAUAUUUAUACCACCC